rnacentral:lncRNA from 1 species
CCAGUCGAUUCGUUGUGGCUGCCCCCGUUGGCCUUGUGGCGAUGGUUCGUUGGAGCAAACGCUGCCAAAACUCAAUUCUAUCAAGCAGCACAGAUGGUUUCAUGUUACCUAUCGAAUCAUUGGUACUUUUCUCGCCAUCUUCUUCUUCUCUACUUCUAUCAAUACUGGUAUAUCUGCGUUGAAGCUUCCCUGUGAGAAAACAAUCUAACCGCUCUUCGAGAUACGAAGCAAACGUUCUGACAAAUGCUGUGUAUUCCCAGGGGCUGGAAUUGGAAUCAUCAUGGAAAGCCGAGAGAUUGAGGAUUCUGGCGCCUUUUUUCAUGGAAUGGAGGACUUCUCUAGGAAAGUAUGGAUCACCAUCUUGAAAUAUUCUGAAAACCAGCA